rnacentral:rRNA from 1 species
AUUGAACGCUGGCGGCAGGCUUAACACAUGCAAGUCGAGCGGGGGAAGGUAGCUUGCUACUGGACCUAGCGGCGGACGGGUGAGUAAUGCUUAGGAAUCUGCCUAUUAGUGGGGGACAACAUCUCGAAAGGGAUGCUAAUACCGCAUACGUCCUACGGGAGAAAGCAGGGGAUCUUCGGACCUUGCGCUAAUAGAUGAGCCUAAGUCGGAUUAGCUAGUUGGUGGGGUAAAGGCCUACCAAGGCGGCGAUCUGUAGCGGGUCUGAGAGGAUGAUGCGCCAAGCUGGGACUGAGACACGGCCCAGACUCCUACGGGAGGCAGCAGUGGGGAAUAUUGGACAAUGGGGGGAACCCUGAUCCAGCCAUGCCGCGUGUGUGAAGAAGGCCUUAUGGUUGUAAAGCACUUUAAGCGAGGAGGAGGCUACUUUAGUUAAUACCUAGAGAUAGUGGACGUUACUCGCAGAAUAAGCACCGGCUAACUCUGUGCCAGCCGCCGCCGUAA